rnacentral:SRP_RNA from 1 species
GCCGGGCGUGGUGGCGGGCGCCUGUAGUCCCAGCUACUUGGGAGGCUGAGACAGGAGAAUUGCUUGAACCCGGGAGAUGGAGUUUGCAGUGAGCGGAGAUCAGGCCACUGCACUCCAGCGUGGGUGACAGAGCGAGACUCUGUCUUAA